rnacentral:snoRNA from 1 species
UUAAUGUGAUGAGACACAUUUCAAUCCAGUUCUGCUGCUGAAUCAUUCUGAUGACUCACAAUUACCAUACCAAGAUCUCUGAUUU